rnacentral:rRNA from 1 species
GAUGAACGCUGGCGGCGUGCCUAAUACAUGCAAGUCGAGCGAACGGACGAGAAGCUUGCUUCUCUGAUGUUAGCGGCGGACGGGUGAGUAACACGUGGAUAACCUACCUAUAAGACUGGGAUAACUUCGGGAAACCGGAGCUAAUACCGGAUAAUAUUUUGAACCGCAUGGUUCAAAAGUGAAAGACGGUCUUGCUGUCACUUAUAGAUGGAUCCGCGCUGCAUUAGCUAGUUGGUAAGGUAACGGCUUACCAAGGCAACGAUGCAUAGCCGACCUGAGAGGGGGGUCGGCCACACUGGAACUGAGACAGGGUCCAGACUCCUACGGGAGGCAGCAGUAGGGAAUCUUCCGCAAUGGGCGAAAGCCUGACGGAGCAACGCGGCGUGAGUGAUGAAGGUCUUCGGAUCGGAAAACUCUGUUAUGAGGGAAGAACAGAUGUGGAAGUAACUGUGCACAUCGUGACGGUACCUAAUCAGAAAGCCACGGCUAACUACGUG